rnacentral:rRNA from 1 species
UACGUAGGUGGCAAGCGUUGUCCGGAUUUACUGGGCGUAAAGAGCGCGCAGGCGGUCGUUCAAGUCGCGUGUGAAAGCCCUUGGCUCAACUGAGGAAGUGCAUCCGAAACUGGCAGGCUAGAGUACUAAAGAGGAUCGCGGAAUUCCCGGUGUAGAGGUGAAAUUCGUAGAUAUCGGGAGGAACACCGGUGGCGAAGGCGGCGAUCUGGGUAGAUACUGACGCUGAGGUGCGAAAGCGUGGGGAGCAAACAGG